rnacentral:rRNA from 1 species
GACGAACGCUGGCGGCGUGCCUAAUACAUGCAAGUCGAGCGGACGGAUGGGAGCUUGCUCCCAGACCGUCAGCGGCGGACGGGUGAGUAACACGUGGGCAACCUGCCUGUAAGACUGGGAUAACUCCGGGAAACCGGGGCUAAUACCGGAUAACUCUUUCCCUCACAUGAGGGAAAGCUGAAAGAUGGCAUCUCGCUAUCACUUACAGAUGGGCCCGCGGCGCAUUAGCUAGUUGGUGAGGUAACGGCUCACCCAGGCGACGAUGCGUAGCCGACCUGAGAGGGGGAUAGGCCACACGGGGACUGAGACACGGCCAAGACUCCUAAGGGAGGCAGCAGUAGGGAAUCUUCCGCAAUGGACGAAAGUCUGACGGAGCAACGGCGCGUGAGUGAUGAAGGUUUUCGGAUCGUAAAACUCUGUUGUCAGGGAAGAACAAGUACCGGAGUAACUGCCGGUACCUUGACGGUACCUGACCAGAAAGCCACGGCUAACUACGUG